rnacentral:rRNA from 1 species
GGCGAACGCUGGCGGCAGGCCUAACACAUGCAAGUCGAACGAAGUCUUCGGACUUAGUGGCGGACGGGUGGGCAACACGUGGGAACGUGCCUUUAGGUUCGGAAUAACUCAGGGAAACUUGCGCUAAUACCGAAUGUGCCCUUCGGGGGAAAGAUUUAUCGCCUUUAGAGCGGCCCGCGUCUGAUUAGCUAGUUGGUGAGGUAAAGGCUCACCAAGGCGACGAUCAGUAGCUGGUCUGAGAGGAUGAUCAGCCACAUUGGGACUGAGACACGGCCCAAACUCCUACGGGAGGCAGCAGUGGGGAAUCUUGCGCAAUGGGCGAAAGCCUGACGCAGCCAUGCCGCGUGAAUGAUGAAGGUCUUAGGAUUGUAAAAUUCUUUCACCGGGGACGAUAAUGACGGUACCCGGAGAAGAAGCCCCGGCUAACUUCGUGCCAGCCGCCGCAGUAAAAC